CCUUGCAAGUUUGCACAGCCUGGGAUUUCGAGAAUGGAGGCCUUUCUCCCAAACACACUACCUCCUAUGAAGUCAAGUGCACAGCUGUAUCCUGGUGUGACUACCUCGCAUCCAAAUGGGCAGCAGACACAGGCCUGCAGGCUGACCCUCUAUCCACUGAUCCGAACCGGCUCGGGAAAGGAAUUCUUCAUUUAAAGGCCAGUAAAAGAAGAUAAUCCACAAAGGAGGAGACGUGGCCACAGAUCAGAAGAAAACAUGAUUUCUUAGAACGGAAUCUAAACAUUCAAGGAGACACUGAAAUGGACCCCUGGGGGAGCAUGGGAAUCCUGGAGCAGGAUGACCUGUGGAGAAGGCAUCCUGGGAGCUGUGAGGGGGAGUCCACAGAAGUCUCGGGAAAGUGCCAGCCUGCGCCACAUCUCUCCGCCACCCGGGAUAACUCUUCCAUUCUCCAUUUAGUGCUUGACACCAGGCACUCAGAGAGGGCGGUGAGAGGCAGGGCAGCAGCACAGCUGCGGGCAGGAGUGAAAGUCAGGCCUGGGGAGCGGAUGGAAGUACUUGGGGCCCAGGAACCCUGUUUCUUGGGCUGUUGCUGCCUCCAGGGGGCCAGGAAAGAUGGGUGAUGCC